AGAACAUUUAUUUUGUAAAGAGCAUUUAUGAAGGUCAUUGCAUUCUGAAGGUGGAAAGAGAUCAGUAUGGCCUUCAGAUUAAUAUGUGGACUUGGUGAAACAAUUUCUGAAAGCAGCUAUUUUUGAUUCAAGCCAUCCCCUCCAACAAAAGCCCACCUAGUGAAAGCAGGUUCAAGGCCAGAAGGGAUGAACAACCUGCAGCUACAGGACAUUGAGAUGUGAGCUACCAGUUGGAGAAAAAAGAGAACUGCCAACCAUCUGCCAGUUUAUUUAUCCAUUCACUGGAUAUGGGAACCACUGGCCAGGCCUAUUUCUAAUUGGCCUGCAGAAAGUGGCAAGAGAGUUGCCACUUUGAACUGCUGGAGUCCUCGGGGUGAAGGUACAAACUCAAAGAAUUGAACAGAAGUGGGUAUGGUCAAAUCACAACUGAGAUCCGUGAGGCUCAAGUGUUCUACUUUGCUGAAGAUUACCACCAGCAGUACUUGGAUAAGAACCCAGGUGGUUAUUGUGGAUUGGGUGGCACUGGGGUAUCUUACCCAACUGGUAUUCAGAAGUAGAACAGCACACUGAUAUAGUGGCUAACAGAGCCCCAGUUUGCCUUUAUUGACCUGUUUCACAGAUGAUAGGGUAGAAUUUUUCUUUAAUCAGGGGCAAAAUACUGGCAGGAGUGGAUUGACCGCCUGUUGUACACUUCUUUGAAACCUAUCCUAAUAUUUUAUAUCUGCAUUCAAAUUCAUGUUAAGAAAUCCCAAUAAACACAAAGUUGAAUCAAAA